rnacentral:rRNA from 1 species
CACCAGGUUGAUUCUGCCUGACGUGGAUGCUAGUUUGCGAGACUAAGCCAUGCAUGCUUGCGAAGUGCGUUGUGCGCGGAGCGGCAGACGGCUCAGUAAUACUGCGAUGAUUUGUUCGGGGAGGCCGUGUAGCCGCGGGAAACUGUGGGUAGGCGGCUGGGCUGCACUGGGUUGCUGGGGCGGUGUCUGAGUAAGUUGCAGCCCUAUUAGCUGGUAGCUAGGGUAAUGGCCUAGCUAGGCGAUGAUGGGAGACGGGGAAUUUGGGUUUGGUUCCGGAGAGGGAGCCUGAGAGAUGGCUACUACGUCCAAGGACGGCAGCAGGCGCGAAAA